GACGAACGCUGGCGGCGUGCCUAAUACAUGCAAGUAGAACGCUGAAGGAGGAGCUUGCUCUUCUGGAUGAGUUGCGAACGGGUGAGUAACGCGUAGGUAACCUGCCUGGUAGCGGGGGAUAACUAUUGGAAACGAUAGCUAAUACCGCAUAACAGUAGAUGUUGCAUGACAUUUACUUAAAAGGUGCAAUUGCAUCACUACCAGAUGGACCUGCGUUGUAUUAGCUAGUUGGUGGGGUAACGGCUCACCAAGGCGACGAUACAUAGCCGACCUGAGAGGGGGAUCGGCCAAACUGGGACUGAGACACGGCCCAGACUCCUACGGGAGGCAGCAGUAGGGAAUCUUCGGCAAUGGACGGAAGUCUGACCGAGCAACGCCGCGUGAGUGAAGAAGGUUUUCGGAUCGUAAAGCUCUGUUGUAAGAGAAGAAAGAGUGUGAGAGUGGAAAGUUCACACUGUGACGGUAUCUUACCAGAAAGGGACGGCUAACUACGUG
rnacentral:rRNA from 1 species